rnacentral:rRNA from 1 species
CUUUGCACUGGACUUUGAGCCUGCUUGUGUAGGAUAGGUGGGAGGCUUUGAAGCGUGGACGCCAGUUCGCGUGGAGCCAUCCUUGAAAUACCACCCUGGCAUGCUUGAGGUUCUAACUCUGGUCCGUGAUCCGGAUCGAGGACAGUGUAUGGUGGGCAGUUUGACUGGGGCGGUCUCCUCCUAAAGAGUAACGGAGGAGUACGAAGGUGCGCUCAGACCGGUCGGAAAUCGGUCGUAGAGUAUAAAGGCAAAAGCGCGCUUGACUGCGAGACAGACACGUCGAGCAGGUACGAAAGUAGGUCUUAGUGAUCCGGUGGUUCUGUAUGGAAGGGCCAUCGCUCAACGGAUAAAAGGUACUCCGGG